AGCAGCCGCGGUAAUUCCAGCUCCAAUAGCGUAUAUUAAAGUUGUUGCAGUUAAAAAGCUCGUAGUUGAAUUUCGGGAUUGGCGCAUCGGUCGUGCCUCACGGGGUAUGAACUGGUGCAGUCAAUUUCUCACCUUCUGGAGAACCGCGAUGUCCUUAAUUGGAUGCCGCGGGGAACCAGGACCUUUACUUUGAAAAAAUUAGAGUGUUUAAAGCAGGCAUUUUUGCUUGAAUACAUUAGCAUGGAAUAAUAAAAUAGGACGGCAUGGUUCUAUUUUGUUGGUUUCUAGGACCACCGUAAUGAUUAAUAGGGAUAGUUGGGGGCAUUAGUAUUCAAUUGUCAGAGGUGAAAUUCUUGGAUUUAUUGAAGACUAACUACUGCGAAAGCAUUUGCCAAGGAUGUUUUCAUUAAUCAAGAACGAAAGUUAGGGGAUCGAAGACGAUCAGAUACCGUCGUAGUCUUAACCAUAAACUAUGCCGACUAGGAAUCAGACGAUGUUA
rnacentral:rRNA from 1 species